rnacentral:rRNA from 1 species
GAUCAAAUCAAGCGCGAGAAGGGCGUUUGGUGGAUGCCUUGGCAGUAAGAGGCGAUGAAGGACGUGAUACUCUGCGAUAAGCUGAGGCGAGCCGAGAAUAGGCUUUGACCCUCAGAUCUCCGAAUGGGGCAACCCACCUGACAGUCAUCUAUUGUUAACUUCGGUUAUCAAUAGGCGGCUGAACCAGGUACUUUUAACCUGAAUACAUAGGGUUAUAAGAGCAAACCCGGGGAACUGAAACAUCUAAGUACCCGGAGGAAAGGAAAUCAACAGAUACUCCCCUAGUAGCGGCGAGCGAACGGGGACCAGCCGAGCAAUGAGAGUGACCAGAAUGACCUGGAAAGGUCAGCCAUAGUGGGUGACAGCCCCGUAUGGGAAGCUCGAUUUGACGUAUUAAGUAGGGCGGGACACGUGAAAUCCUGUCUGAACAUCGGGGGACCACCCUCGAAGGCUAAGUACUCCUUACUGACCGAUAGCGAACCAGUACCGUGAGGGAAAGGUGAAAAGCACCCCGACGAGGGGAGUGAAACAGUUUCUGAAACCGGACGCCUACAAGCAGUCGGAGGGGCCUUGAGCCCUGACGGCGUACCUUUUGUAUAAUGGGUCAUCGACUUGGUCUCACAUGCAAGCUUAAGCCGAUAGGUGUAGGCGCAGCGAAAGCGAGUCUUAAUAGGGCGUCGAGUAUGUGGGAUCAGACCCGAAACCGAGUGAUCUAGGCAUGACCAGGAUGAAGGUAAGGUAACACUUACUGGAGGUCCGAACCCACACCUGUUGAAAAAGGUCGGGAUGAGUUGUGCCUAGGGGUGAAAGGCCAAUCAAACUCGGAGAUAGCUGGUUCUCCGCGAAAUCUAUUUAGGUAGAGCGUCAUCCGAAUACCCUCGGGGGUAGAGCACUGGAUGGGUAAUGGGGCCCCACAGGCUUACUGAUCCUAACCAAACUCCGAAUACCGAGGAGUACUAGAUGGCAGACACACGGCGGGUGCUAACGUCCGUCGUGGAGAGGGAAACAACCCUGACCUACAGCUAAGGCCCCCAAUUCAUGGCUAAGUGGGAAAGCAGGUGGGACGACCAAAACAACCAGGAGGUUGGCUUAGAAGCAGCCAUCCUUUAAAGAUAGCGUAACAGCUCACUGGUCUAGAUAAGUUGUCCUGCGGCGAAGAUGUAACGGGGCUCAAGCCAUGAGCCGAAGCUUAGGACUGCGUAUGCAGUGGUAGCGGAGCGUAGUGUGAUAUAACUCCACGCCUCCUUGUCUCCUUCGGGAGUAUUGGAGGCUCGGAGUUUUCUGUGAAGCCGGGGCGUGAGCCAACCGGUGGAGAGAUCACUAGCGAGAAUGAUGACAUGAGUAGCGACAAACAGGG